rnacentral:rRNA from 1 species
GAAGUAGGCGGGCGAUUAAGUCAGAGGUGAAAUCCCACAGCUUAACUGUGGAACUGCCUUUGAUACUGGUCGUCUUGAGUUAUAGUGAAGUAGAUAGAAUAUGUAGUGUAGCGGUGAAAUGCAUAGAUAUUACAUAGAAUACCGAUUGCGAAGGCAGUCUACUAACUGUAUACUGACGCUAAUGGACGAAAGCGUGGGGAGCGAACAGGAUUAGAUACCCUGGUAGUCC